rnacentral:rRNA from 1 species
AGAACUAAUCUGUCUCCCUCCCCCAAUCAGUGAAACUGAUCUCCCCGUGCAGAAGCGGGGAUAAUAUCAUAAGACGAGAAGACCCUGUGGAGCUUAAAAUCAAAAAUCAACUGCUUCUCCCACCUAUACUAAARAAACAUUUUCCGCAAGCCUGAUUUAGAUUUUCAGCUGGGGCGGCUGUGGAGAAAAAUAAAUCCUCCACGAAUAUUUAUGCUGAAAGCCACCGCGAUAGGCAUUAAUAAACUUAAUUUUAAUUGACCCAAUUUUUGAUCAACGAACCAAGUUACCCCAGGGAUAACAGCGCAAUCCACUUUCAGAGUCCUUAUCGACAAGUGGGCUUACGACCUCGAUGUUGGAUCAGGGCAUCCUAGUGGUGCAGCCGCUACUAAAGGUUCGUUUGUUCAACGAUUAAAGCCCU